rnacentral:rRNA from 1 species
ACGGGGUGCAGCAGGCGCGAAAACUUCACACUGGAGGCAACUCCGAUGAGGGAAUUCCUAGUGCUAGCACAUUAGUGCUAGCUUUUCUUAAGCGUAGAUAACUUAAGGAAUAAGGGCUGGGUAAGACGGGUGCCAGCCGCCGCGGUAAU